AUAGAUUUAACCUUAUCUGAUAGAAUAAGUCCAAAAACAGACUUCCUCGUUUUCGUUAGAUUAACAACAACAAGCGAAUAAACAUAUACACUUUUCUUUAAAUAACAAAUAAGAUAAAUCAUUCCACAGCUAACUUAUGGACAAAAGUUUCAGAUAGUAAUUACAAAUGUUUUACGUUCUUGUUAGUACUUUUACUCCCUUAAAUACUUGCUAAAAAUAGAACUGCAAAUCGCAGUUGUACUUGGAUUUUGGGUUUUGUGUUGCUUGUCCCCUCUAAGGCUACCGAUCGAGUGCCUGUAGAG